rnacentral:rRNA from 1 species
GUGAGGAAUAUUGGACAAUGGGCGCAAGCCUGAUCCAGCCAUGCCGCGUGCAGGAAGACGCAUCUAUGGUGUGUAAACUGCUUUUGUACGGGAAGAAACACUCCCUCGUGAGGGAGCUUGACGGUACCGUAAGAAUAAGGAUCGGCUAACUCCGUGCCAGCAGCCGCGGUAAUACGGAGGAUCCAAGCGUUACCGGAAUCAAUGGGUUUAAAGGGUCCGUAGGCGGUUUAAUAAGUCAGUGGUGAAAGCCCAUCGCUCAACGAUGGAACGGCCAUUGAUACUGUUAGACUUGAAUUACAAGGAAGUAACUAGAAUAUGUAGUGUAGCGGUGAAAUGCUUAGAUAUUACAUGGAAUACCAAUUGCGAAGGCAGGUUACUACUUGUGGAUUGACGCUGAUGGACGAAAGCGUGGGGAGCGAACAGGAUUAGAUACCCCUGUAGUCC